rnacentral:rRNA from 1 species
GACGAACGCUGGCGGCGUGCUUAACACAUGCCAGUCGAACGGAAAGGCCCUGCUUUUGUGGGGUGCUCGAGUGGCGAACGGGUGAGUAACACGUGAGUAACCUGCCCUUGACUUUGGGAUAACUUCAGGAAACUGGGGCUAAUACCGGAUAGGAGCUCCUGCUGCAUGGUGGGGGUUGGAAAGUUUCGGCGGUUGGGGAUGGACUCGCGGCUUAUCAGCUUGUUGGUGGGGUAGUGGCUUACCAAGGCUUUGACGGGUAGCCGGCCUGAGAGGGUGACCGGCCACAUUGGGACUGAGAUACGGCCCAGACUCCUACGGGAGGCAGGAGGGGGGAAUAUUGCACAAUGGGCGGAAGCCUGAUGCAGCAACGCCGCGUGCGGGAUGACGGCCUUCGGGGUGUAAACCGCUUUCGCCUGGGACGAAGCGGGAGUGACGGUAAUGGGUAAAGAAGCACCGGCUAACUACGUG